ensembl:snRNA U6 U6 spliceosomal RNA
CACCACUGGGUUUGGUUUUUUGGUUUUAUACUGAAACUGGAACCAUGCAGAGAUGAUUAGCGCAGCCCCUGUGCAAGGAUGACAUGCGAAUUCAUAAAGGUUCCAAUAAACCA